rnacentral:rRNA from 1 species
UACAGAGGUCUCAAGCGUUGUUCGGAUUCAUUGGGCGUAAAGGGCGCGUAGGCGGCAAGGCAAGUCGGGUGUGAAAGCUUGGGGCUUAACCCCGAAAGGGCACUCGAAACUGCGUUGCUAGAGGGCCGGAGAGGAGAUCGGAAUUCACGGUGUAGCAGUGAAAUGCGUAGAGCUCGUGAGGAAGACCGGUGGCGAAGGCGGAUCUCUGGACGGCCCCUGACGCUGAGGCGCGAAGGCUAGGGGAGCAAACGGGG